rnacentral:lncRNA from 1 species
UCUCAGUUGGAACUCAACAUGCCCGUCACGCGCUCUGAGGCUCAGGCCGCUCGCGUUCAUCCACGGAGGUCCCACAGACUUUGCUCCAAGAUGCUGCAGCAGGAGAAGAAGUCACCCGGGCUGAAAGUGCUGAAAGUGCAGAACGCUCAGCUUGUUGGGAAGGUUCAACCCCUGUUGCCUUUUCCUCGACGCCGACGCUCCUGUCCCUCCGACAAAACAUCAAGGAAGCCUGGACCUCAGCACCGACCCGACCCGGCAGCCUCCAGGGUCCCGACCCGGCCUCCGCCUCAGUGCCUGCAGCCCACACUCGCAGCCUCAGGGAGGAGCGGCCGCUGGGCGGAACCAGAGGAGAACCAAGGUGAGCCGCACGCUGCAGAGGACGUGCUGUACCUUUACCCCACAUGCUCUCCCAUUCACGGCCUCCAGGAAGACUGCGUCCAACCGCCUAGGACGAUGCGUGUGUAGGUGAGGAGGCAGAUCAUAGGAUUAUGUGGCUCCACCUUUACUGAUUCCACUGUUUCUGCUUGUGACAGAUGACGGACGAGAUGAUUUGUGCCAAGAUGAGCUGAGAACUUCCAGCUGGAUCAGAUUUUUACAAACACAAUAAAAUUGGGCAAACUGGCGUUGGCUGUGUGCUU